rnacentral:rRNA from 1 species
CCAGACUCCUACGGGAGGCAGCAGUGGGGGAUAUUGCACAAUGGGGGGAACCCUGAUGCAGCGACGCCGCGUGAACGAAGAAAUAUUUCGGUAUGUAAAGUUCUAUCAGCAGGGAAGAAAAUGACAGUACCUGACCAAGAAGCCCCGGCUGACUACGUGCCAGCAGCCGCGGUAAUACGUAGGGGGCGAGCGUUAUCCGGAUUCACUGGGCGUAAAGGGAGCGUAGGCGGCGCGUUAAGUCUGAUGUGAAAACCCGAGGCUCAACCACGGGAGUGCAUUGGAAACUGGCGGGCUGGAGUGCCGGAGAGGUAAGCGGAAUUCCUGGUGUAGCGGUGAAAUGCGUAGAUAUUAGGAGGAACACCAGUGGCGAAGGCGGCUUACUGGACGGCAACUGACGCUGAGGCUCGAAAGCGUGGGGAGCAAACAGGAUUAGAUACCCGAGUAGA